rnacentral:tRNA from 3 species
AGAAAUUUAGGUUAAUAAGACCAAGGGCCUUCAAAGCCCUUAGUAAGUAAACUAUACUUAAUUUCUG